AAUCCGCCGGAAGGAGGGCGCAGCAUUGCCGGUCUUCUCAUUGCCUGGCUGCUAGAGGAAACCCGAAGUCGGGAUUCUUUCUUUCCUGCUCUGAGAGGGACCAGGUCCCUCCUCCGUAGCUUUUGUCUCUCUAUUGCCUGCGCCGUGUCCUGGACUGCUCACGGGAGUUCUGCAGGAGACGCCGGAAUAUCUGGAAGCUGAAAAAUGGAAAUAAAUGGAAAGACCAGAAUAUUGAAGAUCACUACAGAAAUCUAAGGUGACUCCCACGACCAGUGCGGGUCACAGCACAGGCGACAGAAGCUAUGGCAGAGGCACCUGAACCCUCUCGGAGGGGAAAGCCAGGCUCCCAACCUCAGCUCGCCGCCUGGAGCCGGGAACCGAGGAGAGCAGGGCCUUCGCCCUCCCCGAUGGACACUCGGCAGGCCCCGCCCAGCGCCCCUGAUUGGACGAAGCGCCGGGCCCCGCCCCCUCAGCCUUUUGAGUCAGGGUCUCACCCUGUGGCCCAGGCUGCCCUCCAGUGAUGCCAUCAUGACUCAGUGCAACCUCAAACUCCCAGGUUCAAGCGAUCUUCCAUCCUGACCUCCAAAAGGGCUGGAUUAUACACAUAAGCCAUGUCACACUUUAUAUGUUUCUAGGGAAGCUUUUCUAAGAAUAAAUACAUUGGAACUAAAAAAAAAAAAA
rnacentral:lncRNA from 1 species